rnacentral:misc_RNA from 1 species
GAUGAAGAACGUAGCGAAAUGCGAUAAGUAAUGUGAAUUGCAGAAUUCAGUGAAUCAUCGAAUCUUUGAACGCACAUUGCGCCCGUUAGCAUUCUAGCGGGCAUGCCUGUCCGAGCGUCAUUUCAACCCUCAGGGUCCCCGUUCCGGCGGGGAACCUGGUGUUGGGGAUCGGCCCGCCCCGUGCGGCGCCGUCCCCCAAAUUCAGUGGCGGUCUCGCUGCAGCCUCCCCUGCGUAGUAGUUACAACCUCGCAUCGGAGCUCAGCGCGGCCACGCCGUAAAACCCCCGACUUUCUGAACGUUGACCUCGGAUCAGGUAGGAAUACCCGCUGAACUUAAGCAUCUCAAUAAGCGGAGGA